rnacentral:rRNA from 1 species
ACUCAAAGGAAUUGACGGGGACCCGCACAAGCAGUGGAGUAUGUGGUUUAAUUCGAAGAUACGCGAAAAACCUUACCAGGGCUUGACAUGCGCAGAAUCCUGCUGAGAAGUGGGAGUGCCUUCGGGAACUGCGACACAGGUGGUGCAUGGUUGUCGUCAGCUCGUGUCGUGAGAUGUUGGGUUAAGUCCCGCAACGAGCGCAACCCUUAUUGUUAGUUGCUAACAUUCAGUUGAGCACUCUAGCGAGACUGCCGUUGACAAAACGGAGGAAGGUGGGGACGACGUCAAAUCAUCAUGCCCCUUAUGUCCUGGGCUACACACGUACUACAAUGGCCGUUAACAACGGGAAGCUAAGCCGCGAGGUGGAGCAAAUCCCCAAAAACGGUCCCAGUUCGGAUUGCAGGCUGAAACUCGCCUGUAUGAAGUUGGAAUUGCUAGUAAUCGCGAAUCAGCAUGUCGCGGUGAAUACGUUCCCGGGUCUUGCACACACCGCCCGU